rnacentral:tRNA from 1 species
GCGGGAAUAGCUCAGCUGGUAGAGCAUCACGUUGCCAACGUGAAUGUCGCGAGUUCGAAUCUCGUUUUCCAUA